rnacentral:rRNA from 1 species
GACGAACCGUACAAACGUUAUUCGGAAUCACUGGGCUUAAAGGGUGCGUAGGUGGUCUAUUAAGUUGGGUGUGAAAUCCCUCGGCUCAACCGAGGAACUGCGCUCAAUACUGGUAGACUUGAGGGAGAUAGAGGUGAGCGGAACUGAUGGUGGAGCGGUGAAAUGCGUUGAUAUCAUCGGGAACACCUGUGGCGAAAGCGGCUCACUGGAUCUCUUCUGACACUGAGGCACGAAAGCUAGGGGAGCGAACGGG